GACGAACGCUGGCGGCGUGCUUAACACAUGCAAGUCGAACGGAAAGGCCCUGCUUGCAGGGUACUCGAGUGGCGAACGGGUGAGUAACACGUGGGUGAUCUGCCCUGCACUUCGGGAUAAGCCUGGGAAACUGGGUCUAAUACCGGAUAGGAGCCAUUUUUAGUGUGAUGGUUGGAAAGUUUUUUCGGUGUAGGGUGAGCUCGCGGCCUAUCAGCUUGUUGGUGGGGUAAUGGCCUACCAAGGCGGCGACGGGUAGCCGGCCUGAGAGGGUGGACGGCCACAUUGGGACUGAGAUACGGCCCAGACUCCUACGGGAGGCAGCAGGGGGGAAUAUUGCACAAUGGGCGCAAGCCUGAUGCAGCGACGCCGCGGGGGGGAUGACGGCCUUCGGGUUGUAAACUCCUUUCGCUAGGGACGAAGCUUUUUGUGACGGUACCUAGAUAAGAAGCACCGGCUAACUACGUG
rnacentral:rRNA from 1 species